rnacentral:rRNA from 1 species
UACGUAGGUGGCAAGCGUUGUCCGGAUUUACUGGGCGUAAAGGGCGUGCAGGCGGUUUGUCUAGUCUAGGGUGAAAGCUCCCGGCUUAACUGGGAGAGGUCCUUGGAUACUGGCAAACUUGAGGGAGGCAGAGGAAAGUGGAGUUCCCGGUGUAGUGGUGAUAUGCGUAGAUAUCGGGAGGAACACCAGUGGCGAAGGCGACUUCCUGGCCUGUUCUUGACGCUGAGGCGCGAAAGCUAGGGGAGCAAACGGG